GCAAAAUCUGAGCCUGAUGAAGGGAACACUUUGCUGUUCUUAGCAAGGAUGGGCUACACAGUAGAAGAGGCUUCAAUAGCUGUGGAAAGAUGUGGGCCAGAUGCCACAAUUGCAGAGCUAACAGAUUUCAUCUGUGCUGCUCAAAUGGCAAAGGCAGCUGAUGCGUCCUUUCCGGAAGAGAAGCCAAAGCUCAAGCAUUUUGAUGAUGAUUAUCCUAAACACAAGAAGAGGAGUUAUUAUGAAUAUGAUUUGUGGAAAAGGAAACAGCGGAUGAAAUUGGAGAAGAGGAUGCUGCAUGGAGAUGAUGAGUUGCUUCGACUCCCAAAUCCGAUGAUUGGAUUUGGGGUCCCCACUGAGCCAGCUGUUGUAACUCAUAGAACACUACCAGAAGCUGCUAUUGAACCUCCCUAUUUUUACUAUGAGAAUGUAGCACUUGCUCCUAAAGGGGUUUGGAGUACCAUUUCACGGUUCUUAUAUGAUGUGGAGCCAGAAUUUGUUGAUUCAAAAUAUUUCUGUGCCGCUGCAAGGAAAAGGGGUUAUGUUCACAAUCUUCCUGUCCAAAACAGGUUUCCCCUUCUUCCACUUCCUCCACGCACCAUACAUGAAGCACUACCUUUGACAAAGAAA
rnacentral:misc_RNA from 1 species